AAUUGGAAUGAGUACACCUUAAAUCGUUUAACGAGUAUCAAUUGGAGGGCAAGUCUGGUGCCAGCAGCCGCGGUAAUUCCAGCUCCAAUAGCGUAUAUUAAAGUUGCUGCAGUUAAAAAGCUCGUAGUUGGAUCUGGGGCUUGAGGUCGCUGUCUAUCGUUUCGGCGAUGACGGUGAUGCUCAGCUCUGCUUGCCGGUGACUGUUGCGGUGUUCUUCACUGAGCGCUGUAGCAGCACGGCACGUUUACUUUGAAAAAAUUAGAGUGCUCAAAGCGUGCUUGUCGCUUGAAUAAUGGUUGCAUGGAAUAAUGGAAUAGGACCUCGGUUCUAUUUUGUUGGUUUUCGGAGCUUGAGGUAAUGAUUAAGAGGGACGAACGGGGGCAUUCGUAUUGCGGUGUUAGAGGUGAAAUUCUUGGAUCGCCGCAAGACGGACUACUGCGAAAGCAUUUGCCAAGAACGCUUUCAUUAAUUAAGAACGAAAGUCAGAGGUUCGAAGACGAUCAGACACCGUCCUAGUUCUGACCAUAAACGAUGCCGACCAGCGAUCCGUAGUGGUUGCUUUAUGGACCCUACGGGCAGCCUCCGGGAAACCAAAGUAUUUGGGUUCCGGGGGAAGUAUGGUUGCAAAGCUGAAACUUAAAGGAAUUGACGGAAGGGCACACCAGGAGUGGAGCCUGCGGCUUAAUUUGACCCAACACGGGAAAACUCACCCGGUCCGGACACCGUAAGGAUUGACAGACUGAUAGCUCUUUCUUGAUUCGGUGGAUGGUGGUGCAUGGCCGUUCUUAGUUGGUGGAGUGAUUUGUCUGGUUAAUUCCGAUAACGAACGAGACUCUAGCCUGCUAAGUAGUGUUGCUAUUGUUAUAUGGUUGACACUUCUUAGAGGGACAAGUGGCAUUUAGCCACGCGAAAUUGAGCAAUAACAGGUCUGUGAUGCCCUUAGAUGUCCGGGGCCGCACGCGCGCUACACUGGAGAAGUCAGCGUGUGUUAUCCAAGUCCGAAAGGACUGGGUAAUCCGUUGAACCUUCUUCGUGCUUGGGACUGUGGCUUGGAACUAUUCCACAUGAACGAGGAAUUCCUAGUAAUUGCAAGUCAUAAGCUUGCGUUGAUUACGUCCCUGCCCUUUGUACACACCGCCCGUCGCUACUACCGAUUGAAUGGUUUAGCAAGGUCCUCGGAUCGUGGCCGUAGGGGCACGCAAGUGUUUCUGCGGUUUGCGAGAAGACGACCAAACUUGAUCAUUUAGA
rnacentral:rRNA from 1 species